rnacentral:tRNA from 1 species
GCGGGUAUAGUCUAGUGGUUAUGAUGUCUGCUUUACACGCAGAAGGUCGUGAGUUCGACCCUCACUACCCGUA